rnacentral:rRNA from 1 species
UACGUAGGGACCGAGCGUUGUCCGGAUUCAUUGGGCGUAAAGAGCUCGUAGGCGGUCUGUCGCGUCUGCUGUGAAAACUCGGGGCUCAACUCCGAGCUUGCAGUGGGUACGGGCAGACUAGAGUGCGGUAGGGGAGACUGGAAUUCCUGGUGUAGCGGUGGAAUGCGCAGAUAUCAGGAGGAACACCAAUGGCGAAGGCAGCUCCACUGGGACGGUAUUGACGCUGAGACGCGAAAGCGUGGGGAGCAAACAGGAUUAGAUACCCGUGG